UUCAUCCUGUCUCAUAUGCAUCAUCACCACAAUAGUCCUUUUGAUGAAACAUGUUAUAACAUGCAUUCAUAUAAUCAAAGGUUCACAUCUUCAACAUGACUGAAAUUCUACAGAAAACUUUGAACUGUUUUGCCAGGAGGUGGCGCUGUAUGACUUAAAGUGAGAGAGAAGAGACAUUGUCUUUUCAUUUUGUGAGUUUUUCCAACAGUAUAAUCCUGCAAUAUGAGUUGUAUGUUACAUGCAGAUUAAUUCUCUGUGUCAAUAUUGUUAUUGCGCAGGUCAGAUUUUGCCCUUAGGUUGAUGUUAUUUUGUCAGCUUAAAUGUCAGAGACUGACAUGUUUAAAUUUGAGCUGCAAGACAUUGUUACUUUGCUUCAGAUUUUAGUUUACUUUUGUUCACUUAAUUGGUUGCUUGCUCCUAUAGUUACUAUAAAGAGACAGAGACUGUGUGUGUUUUUUUUUUUUUUUUUUUUUUUGCUUGCAAGGUUCUCUAGAAAAAUGUGUUACUGAAUGAUAAUAUUAUACCAGAUAUUGUAUUCUGCCAGACAGAGGAGCUAUAUGAUUCACGUUUUUUUAUUACCCAGCACCUGCUAUAUUUGUGUUAGUUAUAUCUUUGGAAGAAAUGUACAGCAGUGAUUUUCAUAGUCACUUUUUUUCUCUUCACUGGUCAGGUCUUUAUUUUGAGAGAAAAACAGCCUAUCAGAGAAGAUAAAGUCUCAGUCUGAGGGUGGAGCAAAUUCACAAAGACUUGAACGUGUGAAAGGCUGGUUCAGAUGGAGUGAACCUGCUUUGAUAGCUUUACAAUCACUCUUCAUCACAAACCAUCAUGCUUCUCUUUUGGUGGAUAUCACUGUCAUUAUUGAUGGGAAAUUCCUUUGCUGACACAAUACAGCCAUUGUCUUCUGAACAACAUAUUUUCAGAGGUGACAAUGUGACUCUGUCCUGUAACUACAGUGGUUUUGUAAAUAACCUGCUAUGGUAUCGGAAACAUGUGGGAUCAAGACCGGAGUUCCUGAUACUUGUAAAUGAAAAUUCAUAGUCAUCUGAGGCUUCUCGUCGUCUGUCAGCAAAAGAUUCAAAAGACAAAAAACAAGUGAAUCUUACAAUCUCUUCUGCUGAGGUGUCAGACUCUGCUCUGUACUACUGCGCUCUGAGGCCCACAGUCACAGAAAGACCAGAAACACUGUACAAAAACCUGAUUCCAGUCAUGUGAUUCUGUACUGUUAUUCAUUUUACAGUUCAGUUUGACAUCUCAAUAAACAAUCAAACCCCUUCUUUAA